AUUGAGUCGUGGUGGUCCAUAUUCAGAAAGGGAAGGUCUCAGUUCUGGAUGGAGUUAUUUGCAGACCUCAGAGAUGCAGGACACUUUAAUGGAAGUCGUGAACAUCAGUGCUUGCUAAGAUUUUGCUUCAAGGAUGUCAUACAGAAUGACCUGGAUGAAUGCAUGACUCUGUGGAACAGUCACCGGAUUCGCACUUCUACAACCGCGUCAUGUCCUGGAGGAGUGCCCAAUGAACUGUACUACUUACCACACAGAUUUGGCUCCAGAG